CGUCGGCCAUGGCGGGCGGCAUCGCGCUGGGCUCGGUGCUCAGCGGGGUGAUGAUCGAGCACUUCUGGUGGGGCUCGGUCUUCCUGAUCAACGUCC
rnacentral:tRNA from 1 species